rnacentral:rRNA from 1 species
UCGAAAGGGGCCGUGGGUUCGAAUCCCACCCUCUCCGCCAAAUGCCCAGAUAGCUCAGUCGGUAGAGCAGGGGACUGAAAAUCCCCGUGUCGGUGGUUCGAUUCCGCCUCUGGGCACCAAAAUAUGGCGGUAUAGCUUAGUUGGCUAGAGCGUUCGGUUCAUACCCGAAAGGUCAUAGGUUCGACUCCUAUUACCGCUACUAAAAUUUAAUGUGGGCCAUUAGCUCAGUUGGUUAGAGCGCCCGGCUCAUAACCGGUAGGUCUGGGGUUCGAGUCCCUGAUGGCCCACCACAUUAAAUUAAUUAAUAUAAAUUCGAGGUGUAGCGCAGUUUGGUAGCGCACAUGGUUUGGGACCAUGGGGCCGGGGGUUCGAGUCCCUUCACCUCGACCAAUAUAAGGUGGGUAUAGCUCAGUUGGUUAGAGCGCCAGAUUGUGGCUCUGGAGGUCGUGAGUUCGACUCUCAUUAUCCACCCCAAUUCAUAUGGUCUAUUAGCUCAGUCGGUAGAGCACCUGACUUUUAAUCAGGGUGUCCCGCGUUCGAGUCGCGGAUAGAUCACCAAAAAGGUGGCGACAUAGCCAAGUGGUAAGGCAGUGGACUGCAACUCCUUGAUCCCCAGUUCGAAUCUGGGNGGGACUCUAACCAUAGGCCAUGAAUCUGGUCUUGGGACACUGUCAGGUGGGCAGUUUGACUGGGGCGGUCGCCUCCCAAAAGGUAACGGAGGCGCUCAAAGGUUCUCUCAGUACGGUCGGAAAUCGUACGUAGAGUGUAAAGGCAAAAGAGAGCUUGAUUGCAAGACAUACAGGUCGAGCAAGGAUGAAAAUCGGACUUAGUGAUCCGGUGGUUCUGCGUGGAAGGGCCAUCGCUCAACGGAUAAAAGCUACCCUGGGGAUAACAGGCUUAUCUCCCCCAAGAGUCCACAUCGACGGGGAGGUUUGGCACCUCGAUGUCGGCUCAUCACAUCCUGGGGCUGUAGUAGGUCCCAAGGGUUGGGCUGUUCGCCCAUUAAAGUGGUACGCGAGCUGGGUUCAGAACGUCGUGAGACAGUUCGGUCCCUAUCCGUCGCAGGCGUAGGAAAUUUGAGAAGACCUGUCCUUAGUACGAGAGGACCGGGAUGGACGUACCUCUGGUGUACCAGUUGUUCUGCCAAGGGCAUGGCUGGGUAGCUAUGUACGGAAUGGAUAAGCGCUGAAAGCAUCUAAGCGCGAAGCCAACUUCAAGAUAAGAUUUCCCACCGCAAGGGUAAGACCCCAGAAAGACUAUCUGGUUGAUAGGUCGAAGGUGUAAGUGCAGCAAUGUAUUUAGCUUAUCGAUACUAAUAGGUCGAGGACUUGACCAA